AUAGCUCCUUCUUCAGGAGAUAAAUAAAUACAAUGAUCUUGUACUAGACACAGCAACAAACAUUGACGUAGCUGUGGUGGAGCAUUCCCUAACUGGAGAGAGGACUGUGUCUCAAAUAUGGCCGUGGGAGGUUCAUGGCAGUGCAAACAUUUCAAUCAAGAAACAAGUGCAUGACCAAGUGAUGUUAACAAUGCGACUGCAUGAGGAAACAAGUGUUUUGGUGUUGGAGAUGGCACAACACUGCACAUGGUUGCAGAGCCUGGCAAUGGUUCUCAAAAACAAGUUGGGUGAGGAGGACGUAGACAAGGGAAAUGAGGGACUUUGCUGUCUCUUAAGAAGAAGACUAUCAGAGGUGUCAGAAAGGUUCCAAGUGGUCCUCCAACAGUACAAGACUGCUUUAGGUCCUGAGCCCUCUGUCCUUCUACAUGUUGAAGAGGAAUGUCAAAGUGGCCUCAGUAGUCCAGACACCAGUGAGGAUGAAGAGGAAAACACAAUUUAGAUGGAAGCUGCACGAAGGACUGCGUUGAAGGAAAUGGACUUGCCCUAUAGACCUUACGCACCAGAGAAACGAGGGCGCCGCCAUCUUUAGAAUAUUGUCUUUGAACUUCCGUUUAUGCGGUCGCUCUGUAUAUUUCUAU